UGCUCUUCUCAUACACAGACACAAGGACUGAUGAGACACACAGAUGAUACAAUUACUCCACAUUAAAAGAAAUAGCUAAAACUGGGAAAUAAGUGGGUAAAAUGUUGAGUUCCAGUUAUGUUUAAAUAUGCACACACUAGAUGGUAGAACUUGUUUGCUUGAAGAUUUGGUAAACCAGAAGAAAGAGCAACAGGAAUUGGGAGAGCACACACACACACACACACUCACACGCACAUCUAGACACACCUACACACACACGCACACACAUAGCUGCACCACUUGUGCUUCUCUAUUCAACAGCCGAUUGGGGAAUCUUGUCCCAAUGGGACCUCGGGUUAGCAGAGCAGUCUGCUCACAGGAACUGAGGUGAUUCGAGGUCCAAGGAGGGAGCGUGAAGCUUAAUCACACGUCUAGGAUGACAGCUACGUGUCAUCUGACCAAACCGCUGACAACAACAGAUAUUCCAGCAGAGGAACAUCAAGAAGGAGAAGUAUAGGCACACACAUACAACGAAGAAAUCCACAGACACGGAGCUAAUGUGACACACCAUUUCCAGAUUAGAGAAGGAACGGGAACGGCUGGGACACUUGAUAAACACAUAUGAUAAGAAUGUUCAAACAAACAAACGCCAACGAUAUUACAGUAACAGAACUUGAGGAUUUUGAAUUCAGAGCGGCUAUUCGGUUGCAAUGACCAAUCAUUACCAAGAUAAAACUAAGCAGCAUUAGACACAUUCACGGGGAACAUCUGGUCAGAAGGAGGAGAGAGAAGUUCACCAUUUCAUAGAAUUAUGCCUAUUCAGACAACUACAGCAUCGUCUCUGUUGAAAGGCAUAUAUCAUAGUAAGAAUUGAAAAUAAGAAUUGUUUUUAGGAGGCUAAAAGUUCUUGUAUGUGUUGUUUCUAUUUCACUCCAAACAGAGCUGAGAUCAUUAUACAAUGCAAGUGGAGAGAUGGUGUCCAUUUAUGGAGGGAGAGUAAACUAUGAAGGGCAGGGUCUCAACCAUUGACUCACUGGUUAUGUUCUCCUCCUCAACAUGUGUUGUCAACUUGAAGCAUCACUGUGGCACCGCCACAUAUAGAGCGGUUAUUCUGUUUGAUGAUGUCAUCCCUCCAGAAACAAACAGGGAUGGGAGCAUCAAUUGAAAGACACAUCCAGAGCUGCCCCUGGGGGUGGGGGGGUAAAUUAUAUGUCCUAUAGUGUUUUUCCUUGAGUUUCAGAUACCUUGUCCCUAUAUAAUGUGUUGAUAUGUGUUGAACUUUAAGCGACUGAGACCAGAUUCACUAAGAGAUCCAGGGAGACAUCUUCAGGAGGUUUUCCAACAGCAGCCAUGUGGGAGAAAGAUUGAAUAAGGAAUUAUUUGUGUUACGAACUACACUGAUUCC
ensembl:lncRNA